AUGAAGCAUUUUUCAAAAUAUAAAGUGGUGGUGCUGUAUAGCAGGGAAGGCCAUCCAAAGCCACUUCAGCCACUGACGACGCAGAAAAUGUCUUCUCAGCUGCUCUUGACUUCGGCAAUACCAUGUCUCUGUGAGUACUUAGAAUCCACUUUCCAAUAGUCAUUUAGUCUUAAGAGAAGCUUUAGCACUUUUCCUGUAGCUUUUUGCUCUCCCUUGAACUAUUAUUUACCAUUAAAUACUAUUCAUGUAUUCAUUCCUUUUUUGCUGUGAACAACAUUUGUGAGUUAAACAUUGAAGUUUGAAGCCAUAAAAGAAUCCACUUCAUAGUUGCUAUAAAUAGUAACACUGUUUUACAACCUUGGCUCAUGACUGAAAUGUACCAGUAGAAAAAGUAUUGAUUCGUACUGGAUUCCUUCUUGUUUCAGUCCCCAAAUUAGUGUCAUGUUGUUCUCUAUUAAAAUAGUCUUUUGGUACAUCCUCCUGCUCCAAACAUACCAUAUCUGGAGGAUCAUAUAAAGCCUGCCUGGGGAGAUGGGCACUGUCAUCAUGGUUCCCAACCAAAGCAGGCAGUGGGGAGGCACUGCACUGGACUUUGGGAUGCACUCACCUUCUCUCGCGUCCUUUAUUGACUCCCCAUAGGCUCAGGGCUCUGCUUUGAUUGUGUCCACAGUGCAUUCAGAAAACAGUUAUUGGUGAUGGCAGAUACCUACAGGUCUUCCUAGCUAAGCUUUAGCAGAGUUGGGGGCAGGGGGAAAAUGGAGGGGAGAAAUCUGGCCCUGUCUACCCCAAGAUGUAUUGCUCUUACUCUCCUGUGUGGUCAUUGUAAAUCUAAUACACCAGAUGCUAUUUUCAUGGGACCUCAUUAAACUGUCAGGAAAACUUUCGAGGGUCUAACCAGUGUCUCAGUAAACACCAUCUCAUAGUAGUUGUAUUUAUUUCUUUACUAUUAAAAAAUGCAGAUGAAUCCACAUUCAGGAACUUUUCUUAUUUCUACCAUUAUUUCUAUGACCCCUGUUAGAUGUUAAUUAUAUUUCUUAGCAGUACAGAAAAUAAUACUUAGGGUUGAAAACAAGUUCUAUCCUUUCAUAAAUUUUGUCUAUAAUCUGAUUUGAAAAGUUCGAUGUUUCAGUAUUAGGUGAGAAGGUAAUGAAAAAUUUUAUUAUUUGGUUUUAUUAAAGAUACAAUAAUCAGAGAUUCUGUUUUUUAUUUCAUUUUUGUUUUAUUUUAGUAUUACAAUGGAAAACAAAACGAAUAAACAAAAGUUUAGAGAAAAUUAUGGUGAAGGAAAGAAAGAAGGAUGCAUUUGUGCAGGCACCAAUAGACAUAGUUGUAAAAUGUAUGAAGAAUCGGUAAUCUGAACAUAUUUUUAAUUGCACUGGGCCUUUUCCAGACAACAAUGUUCUAGAAAGUAUCCUGUGAAGAGAUUCUAGUAAGUGCUAGAAAGUAUGUCUCUGAGACACUGUUGCUUCUGUAAGAUAAUUUUUUAAGACUUAGAUGAUGUUACAGGUAAUAAAAUGUACAAUUAUAAUAUCAGAGGUUGAUUUUGUUUAAAUGAUUAUCUGAGUAGGAGAAACAAAUAUAAAGGUGGAAAAUGAUGGGAAAUGAUUGGUUUAAUUUUUCCCUACUUUUUAACAAGCUGAGGUUUUGUUUAUAUGUGACCUUGAUUUCUCUGGGGAAGAAAUCAGAACCAUAUGGCAAAAUUAAUCUAAAGAAGCAACACAAACUAAAACUGUGAGAAGAAAUUGCAGCACUCAUCAACACAAAUAAACGCAGAAAAAAAAAAAAAAGAGUUUGGGCUCACAGCACAUCUCCAACUAAACAAGAAUCUGGACCCUGUUUUAAUGAUAUCAGGUAACUGGUCACAUAGGCAAAUUACAUACUUAGGUCUGGAAAAUAUUUGGGCUCACCAUGAUUUCUUAUUUAUUGUCUUAACAUAGUUACAAUGAAUUAGGACUUUGGAUAAAAUAAUUAAAUCUGACUUCAUCUCCUACCAGAAGUUCUAGAGCUCUCCGUCUGUGGGAGUUGGUGAAAUUAGGGAAGAAAUUUUGGUGGAAAAGACUCAGUAGAGAAGUACAGUUCAAAUAGAAAUGCAUGAAAGAUACAGUUAAUGACCUUCGUAUUGUGCAUGCAUUUUUCUGUAACAAGCUCACUAUAUAUUUUUUGAAAUUGAUACUAAAUAUGUUGGUGUUUUCACUUUUUCACAAAAGGUGGGAAAUAAGCUAGACAUUGUUUCAUUUAUUUGGGAUUUAUAGGGACCCACUUCUUUAAGCUCAUAAUCCUGGGUUUCAAAUUUGCUAUGGAAUCAUGAUUACUAGAUGGAAUUUACAGGAUCCACUCAACAUAAAAUCUUAGUACUGCUGUGACCAACUGUGGUCAUCACUACCUCCACCACCUCUUCCCAGGCUCCACCCUCGUCCCCAGAGCCUGUCCUCCAGUCAUCCUUGUUUAUUGCGCCCUGAGACACUGCGCUAAGCUCUGCCCCAUGGUAUCUUGUUUCGUUUCUACAACAUUUAAAUAGAUAAAUAUAAUUUUUAUUCAAAUUUUACAGAUAGGGAGGUGGAGGCUUAUGGUGGUUGAGUAACUUGUGUGAAGUCACACACCUGAGAGAUGGACAGCUGGGCUUUGAAUCCAUCGAGUCUAAUCCCAGAGCUCGCAUGCUAACCUCCAAACCCUGUGCAGUGCAUUCAUCAUAUCUGAUGUGGGGUAGGAAGUGCAGUCUGGUGCUUUGGAGCAGAGCAAAUGUAAAUGGCCCACCUGGGGACUGAACCUAUGACCUCAGCAUGAUUAGCAUGGGGCUAACGAACUAACUGAAAAGCAGAAGCAUAUUAUCCAGAAUCCUCUCAUAUGACUUGAUUGUUUUCAGGGCAUGCUAUGAAAGUUGAGAGGGAAAUCUAUUAAUUUUAUUCACGCACACACACACUUGACCACUUCAAUUCUCAUUUCUAGACAAUGUUAAAGACUUCAAUUUACAUAUACAGACAAGUUUGCAUAUGCAUAUACUUCUGUAUAUAUGCAAAUGCAUAUGUAUGUGAAUACCUGCAAACAUAAACAACAGUACAUAUAAAAUGUGGACCUCAUCAUAAUUGUGCAUUGAUGCAGGCACCUCUAUUUUUGUUCUUAUAAUUAAUGUAGUGUGUAUGUGGUCUCUACAUGUAUGUGUAUAGUGACCAAAGCAUCACCAAUCUUGCAUUUCAACAAAAUUUCUGUACUUUACAGGCAUUACUAUUGUCACUGAAGCUCUAAUGACAGAAAGAUUGGACACUUUUGAAAGAGAAAUUUAUUUUUAUGCUUUUAAAAUGAAAACACAGUGUACCUUUCAUUUCAAGCAGAUGUAGGAAAAUCUGAAGUUCUGAGCUGCUUUCUUCUUUUGGGAACUCUAAGGGCUUCCACGUAAAGUUUAAGUGAUAUUAUGCCUUGUGGAAUGAAACCAUAAAGAAGGUAUUAUUUGGUGCUAAUUAUGCACAAUGGUUUUAUUUAUGUUUCAAUCACAGAGAAACACGAAAACAGCAGGGUGCUGGAGACAGCCAAACCUAGACCCCUCCCAGGUCUGUAAUUUUCAUCCCUGAUGCUCUCUGAAAUGGAGACAAUCACAUGUCAAGGAGAGAAGGGUAAGAGUCAUUGUGACUAUUCCUCUGUGAUCUCCCCUGAAAAGCGAUUGCUUUAUCGUCGCCAAGAAUUUCUGAAUCCA
rnacentral:lncRNA from 1 species